rnacentral:rRNA from 1 species
GACGAACGCUGGCGGCGUGCUUAACACAUGCAAGUCGAACGGUGAAAGCGGAGCUUGCUCCGCUGGAUCAGUGGCGAACGGGUGAGUAACACGUGGGCAACCUGCCCCUCACUUCGGGAUAACUCCGGGAAACCGGGGCUAAUACCGGAUAUGACCUCCUUGGGCAUCCUUGGAGGUGGAAAGUUUUUCGGUGGGGGAUGGGCCCGCGGCCUAUCAGCUUGUUGGUGAGGUAGUGGCUCACCAAGGCGACGACGGGUAGCCGGCCUGAGAGGGUGACCGGCCACACUGGGACUGAGACACGGCCCAGACUCCUACGGGAGGCAGCAGUGGGGAAUAUUGGACAAUGGGCGAAAGCCUGAUCCAGCAACGCCGCGUGAGGGAUGACGGCCUUCGGGUUGUAAACCUCUUUCAGCAGGGACGAAGCGAGAGUGACGGUACCUGCAGAAGAAGGACCGGCCAACUACGUGCCAGCCGCCGCAGUAA